UAUUUCCUUUUCCACCGUAGGCCUCAAAGCGCUCCAAAUAUCCACUUGCAGAUUCUAGAAAAAGAGUGUUUCAAAACUGCUCAAUCAAAAGAAAGUUUCAACUCUGUGAGAUGAAUGAACACAUCAGAAGAAAUUUCUCAGAAUGCUUCCGUCUAGUUUUUAUGUGAAGAUAUUUCCUUUUCUAACAUAGGCCAUAAAGCGC
rnacentral:lncRNA from 1 species